rnacentral:rRNA from 1 species
CGAGACGAGGACGUAGAUAGGCCGGGUGUGUAAGCGUUGCGAGACGUUGAGCUAACCGGUACUAAUGAGCCGUGCGGCUUAACCUG